rnacentral:lncRNA from 1 species
UGGUUUUGGAAUCGCUAAAAAGGGGAACAGAGGUUUACCUAGUGAGAGCAUUGCUAGACUUUGUUGGACGACUCAUGGGUCUAGGGUCACAUCGGGAAAGAGAACCUGACUAGAUGGUAGCAUCAUUGCUUUGAAUCGGUAUAGGAGCACAGAAAUGGUGAUUGCUUGUGAAGAGAUCUGCACUUAGUGAACUGAUUCGACAAAGGGAUAGUGAAGAGGCUUCUAGAAUGCAGAGGAUCUAAGGAGUUUUUGUCUAGGCUGGUCUGAUUUUUGUUUUCUUUUCUAAAGUUUCAUUUUUUUUCCUUUUUCUUUGUUUUUAUCGGUUUCGGGCCUCCUGGUUUUGGGUGGACAUAUUGGGUCAGACUUGUUAUUUUGCUUUCCAUAACAAUAUCCAACCUAAAUAUAUUUAAAAAAUAUAUAAAAUUAUGAAAAUAAAAUAAAUAAAAUUUUUAUUAAAUAAAAUAAAAUUAUAAAAACUAAAAAAUAUAAAUAGAAAACUAAAAAAUAUAACAUUUGUUAAAAAAAUAAAAAGAAAAGAAAAAGACAACUGGAUGUGAAAAAGGGGUGCCGCCCCCUUCUAUGGCU